rnacentral:rRNA from 1 species
AUGCUGUGGCAUGCCGCAAAACAACCACAUUUUGCUGCUGUGAUUUGGUCCAUCCUGUGCAUUUCAGUUCCUGGUGAUCUCCAAUGUUUGUCAGCUAAUGCCACCAGGAGGGCUGCCCACCCAAGACUUGUAAUGUGGGCAUCGGUACUGUCCUUUGACAUAUUUGGAAGUCACUGUCGUUUCAACUCCGUCAGGUGCCAGGCCAAGGAUGUUACUCAUCGCUGCUGUGAAGACCUUGCGGAUAAUCUGACACCUAAUAAGGAUCAAGAGAACAACAGAGAUGCUAAGAGGCAACAUUUUGGGUUUAAGGAUAUAAACAACAUGGCUUACGAGGAUUUGGACUGCUGUUAUUUUAGUUCCACUCUUAAAUAUUUUGGUUCUUGA